AUGUUCCAAGGCUAAGAGUGUUGCUAUUCCUAAUAUGGUUUGUGAAAUGGAGGAACUUGAGGCUCUUGCUAGAAAUCUUUCACUUGAGGAUGAAGACCUAGAUGAUGAUCUUGAUGAUGGACCAGAGGCAUCGUUGUAAGCUUGUUGAUGAAGACCUAGAUGAUGAUAAUGCAACAUGAAUGCUCUGAAUGUUUUUAUUGUACUUGUUGCGUAAUGCUUUGUGAUCUUGCGAACUUGGGACUUGUGGAC